rnacentral:rRNA from 1 species
UAAGGCCCCUAAGCGUACGCUAAGUGGGAAAGGAUGUGGAGUCGCAGAGACAACCAGGAGGUUGGCUUAGAAGCAGCCACCCUUGAAAGAGUGCGUAAUAGCUCACUGGUCUAGUGAUUCCGCGCCGACAAUGUAGCGGGGCUCAAGCGUACCGCCGAAGUCGUGUCAUUGCAGCAAUACUCCCAACGGAGGCUGUGAUGGGUAGGGGAGCGUCGUGUGCCGGGUGAAGCAGCCGUGGAAGCGAGUUGUGGACGGUUCACGAGUGAGAAUGCAGGCAUGAGUAGCGAUUCACACGUGAGAAACGUGUGCGCCGAUUGACUAAGGGUUCCUGGGUCAAGCUGAUCUGCCCAGGGUAAGUCGGGACCUAAGGCGAGGCCGACAGGCGUAGUCGAUGGAUAACCGGUUGAUAUUCCGGUACCCGCUGUGAAGCGUCAAACAUUGAAUCCAGUGAUGCUAAGCCCGUGAAGCCGUUCCGGACCCUUCGGGGAAUGGAAAGUGGUGGAGCCGGUGGCCCGAGCUGGUAGUAGGUGAGUGAUGGGGUGACGCAGGAAGGUAGUCCAUCCCGGGCGGUGGUUGUCCCGGGGUAAGGGUGUAGGACGUCAGGUAGGUAAAUCCGCCUGGCAAUAGUCUGAGACCUGAUGCCGAGCCGAUUGUGGUGAAGUGGAUGAUCCUAUGCUGUCGAGAAAAGCCUCUAGCGAGUUUCAUGGCGGCCCGUACCCUAAACCGACUCAGGUGGUCAGGUAGAGAAUACCGAGGCGUUCGGGUGAACUAUGGUUAAGGAACUCGGCAAAAUGCCCCCGUAACUUCGGGAGAAGGGGGGCCAUGUCUGGUGAUCCGAUUUACUCGGUGAGCUGGGUGUGGCCGCAGAGACCAGCGAGAAGCGACUGUUUACUAAAAACACAGGUCCGUGCGAAGCCGUAAGGCGAUGUAUACGGACUGACGCCUGCCCGGUGCUGGAACGUUAAGGGGACCGGUUAGUCACAUUUCGGUGUGGCGAAGCUGAGAACUUAAGCGCCAGUAAACGGCGGUGGUAACUAUAACCAUCCUAAGGUAGCGAAAUUCCUUGUCGGGUAAGUUCCGACCUGCACGAAUGGCGUAACGACUUCUCGACUGUCUCAACCAUAGGCCCGGUGAAAUUGCAUUACGAGUAAAGAUGCUCGUUUCGCGCAGCAGGACGGAAAGACCCCGGGACCUUUACUACAGUUUGAUAUUGGUGUUCGGUUCGGCUUGUGUAGGAUAGGUGGGAGACUGUGAAGCAUGCACGCCAGUGUGUGUGGAGUCGUCGUUGAAAUACCACUCUGGUCGUGCUGGAUGUCUAACCUGGGUCCGUGAUCCGGAUCAGGGACAGUGUCUGAUGGGUAGUUUAACUGGGGCGGUUGCCUCCUAAAGAGUAACGGAGGCGCCCAAAGGUUCCCUCAGCCUGGUUGGUAAUCAGGUGUUGAGUGUAAGUGCACAAGGGAGCUUGACUGUGAGACCGACGGGUCGAGCAGGGACGAAAGUCGGGACUAGUGAUCCGGCGGUGGCUUGUGGAAGCGCCGUCGCUCAACGGAUAAAAGGUACCCCGGGGAUAACAGGCUGAUCUUCCCCAAGAGUCCAUAUCGACGGGAUGGUUUGGCACCUCGAUGUCGGCUCGUCGCAUCCUGGGGCUGGAGUCGGUCCCAAGGGUUGGGCUGUUCGCCCAUUAAAGCGGUACGCGAGCUGGGUUUAGAACGUCGUGAGACAGUUCGGUCCCUAUCCGCUGUGCGCGUAGGAAUAUUGAGAAGGGCUGUCCCUAGUACGAGAGGACCGGGACGGACGAACCUCUGGUGUGCCAGUUGUUCUGCCAAGGGCAUGGCUGGUUGGCUACGUUCGGGAGGGAUAACCGCUGAAAGCAUCUAAGCGGGAAGCCUGCUUCGAGAUGAGUAUUCCCACCUCCUUGAGAGGGUAAGGCUCCCAGUAGACGACUGGGUUGAUAGGCCGGAUAUGGAAGCCCUGUAAGGGGUGGAGUUGACCGGUACUAAUAGGCCGAGGGCUUGUCCUCAGUUG